CAGCAGUCGCCGCGGUAAUACAGAGGGUGCGAGCGUUAAUCGGAUUUACUGGGCGUAAAGUGUGCGUAGGCGGCUUCUUAAGUCGGAUGUGAAAUCCCUGAGCUUAACUUAGGAAUUGCAUUCGAUACUGGGAAGCUAGAGUAUGGGAGAGGAUGGUAGAAUUCCAGGUGUAGCGGUGAAAUGCGUAGAGAUCUGGAGGAAUACCGAUGGCGAAGGCAGCCAUCUGCCUAAUACUGACGCUGAGGUACGAAAGCAUGGGGAGCAAACAGGAUUAGAUACCCCGGUAGUCCCUGUCUCUUAUACA
rnacentral:rRNA from 1 species